rnacentral:rRNA from 1 species
GGGGCAGCAGUACUUUUCGGAGUAGCUGGCGACCGGCGCACGGGUGCGUAACGCGUAUGCAAUCUACCCACUGCACAGGGAUAGCCCGUGGAAACAUGGAUUAAUACCUGAUAAUACAGGGAGCCCACCUGGGCAUAUUGUUAAAGUUUUAACGGCAGUGGAUGAGCAUGCGUCCCAUUAGUUAGUUGGUAAGAUAACGGCUUACCAAGGCGAUGAUGGGUAGGGGUUCUGAGAGGAUGAUCCCCCACACUGGUACUGAGAUACGGACCAGACUCCUACGGGAGGCAGCAGUAGGGAAUAUUGGUCAAUGGACGCAAGUCUGAACCAGCCAUGCCGCGUGCAGGAAGACGGCCUUCUGGGUUGUAAACUGCUUUUAUCAGGGAAGAAAAAAGCCUUGCGAGGCAAAUUGACGGUACCAUACGAAUAAGCACCGGCUAACUCCGUGCCAGCAGCCGCGGUAAUACGGAGGGUGCAAGCGUUGUCCGGAUUUAUUGGGUUUAAAGGGUGCGUAGGCGGCCUAUUAAGUCAGUGGUGAAAGGUAUCAGCUUAACUGAUGACGUGCCAUUGAAACUGAAAGGCUUGAGUACAGACGAGGUAGGCGGAAUUUAUGGUGUAGCGGUGAAAUGCAUAGAUACCAUAAAGAACACCAAUUGCGAAGGCAGCUUACUAGACUGAGACUGACGCUGAGGCACGAAAGCGUGGGGAGCGAACAGGAUUAGAUACCCUGGUAGUCCACGCCGUAAACGAUGAUCACUAGACAUUGGCGAUAUACUGUCGGUGUCAAAGCGAAAGUAUUAAGUGAUCCACCUGGGGAGUACGGUCGCAAGACUGAAACUCAAAGGAAUUGACGGGGGCCCGCACAAGCGGUGGAGCAUGUGGUGUAAUUCGAUGAUACGCGAGGAACCUUACCUGGGCUUAAAUGCAAUAUGACAGAUUGGGAAACCAGUCCUUCUUCGGACAAAUUGCAAGGUGCUGCAUGGUUGUCGUCAGCUCGUGCUGUGAGGUGUCGGGUUAAGUCCCAUAACGAGCGCAACCCCUAUCCUUAGUUGCCAGCGAGUAAUGUCGGGGACUCUAGGGAAACUGCCCGCGUAAGCGGUGAGGAAGGUGGGGACGACGUCAAAUCAUCACGGCCCUUACGUCCAGGGCUACACACGUGCUACAAUGGCGCAUACAAAGGGCAGCUACUUGGUGACAAGAUGCUAAUCUCGAAAGUGCGUCUCAGUUCGGAUCGAAGUCUGCAACUCGACUUCGUGAAGCUGGAAUCGCUAGUAAUCGCGUAUCAGCAAUGACGCGGUGAAUACGUUCCCGGGCCUUGUACACACCGCCCGUCAAGCCAUGGAAGCUGGGAGUGCCUGAAGUU